UACGGCGACCAUAGCGGUAGGGUCACAUCUGAUCUCGUCUCGAUCUCAGUAAUAAAGUCUACCUACGUUUUAAUUGGUACUAUAAGUGGUAAGCUUAUGGGAAGGUUAGAAAGUUGCCGGCC
rnacentral:rRNA from 1 species